UUGCUCUAGCUGCACAUAUACUAAAAUUAGAAAAAUACAAAGAUGAUUAACAUGGGCCCUACUCAAGGAUGACAUAUAAACUCAUGAAGUACCCAUAUUUUUC
ensembl:snRNA U6 U6 spliceosomal RNA